GACGUAGGGUGCGAGCGUUGUCCGGAUUUAUUGGGCGUAAAGAGCUCGUAGGCGGCUCGUCGCGUCGACCGUGAAAACCCGCGGCUUAACUGCGGGCUUGCGGUUGAUACGGGCGGGCUAGAGUUCGGUAGGGGAGACUGGAAUUCCUGGUGUAGCGGUGAAAUGCGCAGAUAUCAGGAGGAACACCGGUGGCGAAGGCGGUUCUCUGGGCAUGUCCUGACGCUGAGGUGCGAAAGCGUGGGGAGCAAACAGG
rnacentral:rRNA from 1 species